rnacentral:lncRNA from 1 species
UGGGACAGAAGAAAACUUAAAAUAUAGUGAAAAAGAGAGAAGGCUGUCUUUUGGCAAGGAAGGUGAUAGACAGUGGUCUCUUGCUGUUCAGCUCAAGACGAGUCCGGGCUCCUGUCAAAGAUGACUAACUGGAAAUCAGCGGAUGAAGGAAUGUUUCCUCAGAUGGUCUUCUGUGCUCUGAUUUGACAUUGUGUCUCUCUUCAUCCAUUCAUACAAAGAUCUCAGCAGUGGCAAUGUCUCCAGGAGUCUCCCCUAGUUAAACAUCUGAGAGUCCAGAGUGAUUCUUCAGCUCCUACUACUUCCUCUCCACCUCUGCCAACAGCUACAGUUUGGGAAUUAACAUCUGAAGUGGGAUAUAACCAGGCAAAGUUUAAUUUAUGAAGAUAUACCUAUCCUCAGUGGUCCUCAGACCUUCUCUGAAAAUGUCUGAACACAGAUAAGGUAGGUGGCGUUUUUUUCAUGCUGGAGUGGCCAUCUACUCAAGAUCUUCAAUGUAAGACAUACGUUUGUGCUUACUCAUUUA